rnacentral:rRNA from 1 species
AUGUUCCAGCAUCCGGUUCGUCGCCGCCUCGCCGCGGCGGCAUGGAACUGGAACCGAGCCACCGCCACCCGCCAUUUGGGGCCUGGCGGAGUCCGGCAGCUUGGAUGGACCAAGGCGGCGAGCGACGGCCACGCCGCGUCGGCGCAGGAGAAGGCGCAUUAUGUGCCGCCCCUUUUCAGCGCGAUGAGGGCAGAUUCGGCCAAAUACUCCACCACGCCGGAUCCGAAGGAGGAGCAUCCGGAGCCGGAGCUGGAGGAGACGCCGACCUUUUCGUGGGAGCUCCAGGGCUUGCUCAACGAGGACUUGUACAAGGACCAGAUGAAGAGAAUCCCAGCGACUUUCACCUCAAUCAGGGACUACACGAGGUCCUUCCUGGUGCCACUGAUGGAGGAGAGGCGCGCCGGCGUCCGCGCCGCGCUGGAAGGCAUCGGCCACGCGCCGGUGGCUAAGGUGGACUGGAUCGAGGAGUACCGUCCGCUCUCAGAUCGGUCACUGUUAGGGUACACUCUCUGGUCGUCAGCUGGUGAUGGUGACUGUUAUUUCCCCAAGGACGACGAUGUGGUGCUGUUGACGCACCGGGGCCGACGUGCACGUCGGUGCCGGAGCAGCCGUGCGCCAUAG